UAGCAAAAAAAAUCUUUUUUAAUAAGAUAAUAUAAUAUGUAAAUUAAAUAAUUCUUUUUUCAAAUCAAGUUAGUUUAUGACUUAGUUAAUGUAGCAUUUUAAUUGUUAGCAAAAAUUAGUGUGUCAAUUGGAUAAUAUAAUAUAUUAAUUAAAUAAAUUUUUUCUUAAAUCAGGUUAGUUUAUGAUUUUUUUUGGUUAAUUUUAGGGGUGACAAUU
rnacentral:lncRNA from 1 species